rnacentral:rRNA from 1 species
AACGAACGCUGGCGGCAUGCCUAACACAUGCAAGUCGAACGAGACCUUCGGGUCUAGUGGCGCACGGGUGCGUAACGCGUGGGAAUCUGCCCUUCGGUUGGGAAUAACUGAGAGAAAUUUCAGCUAAUACCUUAUAAUGUCUUCGGACCAAAGAUUUAUCGCCGAGGGAUGAGCCCGCGUAGGAUUAGGUAGUUGGUGGGGUAAUGGCCUACCAAGCCGACGAUCCUUAGCUGGUCUGAGAGGAUGAUCUGCCACACUGGGACUGAGACACGGCCCAGACUCCUACGGGAGGCAGCAGUGGGGAAUAUUGGACAAUGGGCGAAAGCCUGAUCCAGCAAUGCCGCGUGAGUGAUGAAGGCCUUAGGGUUGUAAAGCUCUUUUACCCGGGAUGAUAAUGACAGUACCGGGAGAAUAAGCUCCGGCUAACUCCGUG